AGUAUGGGACUCAUCCUACUUCAUUUGAUUCAUAUUGAGGUUGUUUCCUGCCUGGAAUUUUGUUUUUGUUUUUGUUUUUUUUUUUUCAAGACAGGGUUUCUCUGUGUAGCCCUGGUUGUCCUGGAACUCACUCUGUAGACCAGACUGGCCUCAAACUCAGAAAUCCGCCUGCCUCCCAAGUGCUGGGAUUAAAGGCGUGCGCCACCACUGCCUGGCCCAAAAUUAUUUUGAAUAGAGCUGCUGUGAAUGUUCUCUAGCACAUCUUUUUGUAAAUAUUGUCUUCCCCACUCCUAGGUGCACACCUAGAGGCGACGUGCUACAUCAUGGAGGGACAUCUUUUCCAAGUGCUGAUGUUCUUCCACAUUCUCACUAUCAGUAUGGAAGGGUACUUUUAUUCCAUAAGCCUGCAGACAGUUGGUUCUGUUCAGUGGGUUUGUUUCUAAUCAUUCUGGAAAACUUGAAAUACAUCUCACUCCUGUGGGUUCUCCACACCCCAACACCAAAGAUUGCACCCAGGGCCUUGUGCAUGCCGUACAAGUGCCAUACAUGUCCCCACCCCUCAUUGUCCGUUUUUAACUCUUAUAGUUUACUGCUGAGUUCUAAUGUUGAACACAGUGUCAUCUGCUUUUUAGCAUGGGUACAUUCUUUCUAAAACUUAGUGUGUGUGUGUGUGUGUGUGUGUGUGUGUACACGCACGUGCGUGUGCGCAUGUACACAUACCACAACCUUUGUCCAGAAGCCAGAGAACUUUAGGGAGUCAGUUUUGUCUUUUCAUUACAUGAGUCUAGGAAUUGAACUCAGAUGCUCAAAUUUGAUGGCAAGCACCUUUAUCUGCCGAACCAUCUUGCUUGCAAGAAUCAGUGCAGUGUCUUUCAAAGAUGUCUUUUAAAUAGGAGUCCUUUGACAGAUCUACAUCUUUUCUUCUUCACUUGUCGGAGAGGAUUAUUAUUAGUUGUCAAGGCUUUGGAAUCACAGAUCUCCAGGCAUAUCAGGGAGGGACUAGUUAACCUCUGGGCAUGCCUGUGAGGAAUGAUAUUGAUUAGGCUAAAUAAGGUGGGAGGGCCCAUGCUGAAAGUGGGCAGCACCAUUCCCUAGGUUUGUGUCCUGGAUUGCCUAACAAGGAGACCAUGAACUAAGCAUGAUCACCCGGUGCUUUCUGUUUCCUGACUUUGGAUGUGAUGUGACCAGCUCCCUCAAGCCUUGUCACCUGCAUACCCUCCCCAUGAUGAAAUGUGUUCAUAAUCUGUGAGCCAGAAUAAACCCUUCUCUUUUGAGUUGCUUUUGUCAGAUUAUAUUAUCAAAACAACAGGAAAACAAAUAAAGACACUGUCUUUUUAUAUAUGUUAUACAUGCUAUGUUACUAUGUUACACAUAGUAUGUGGAUAGAUAUGUAAUAUAUACAUAUAUAUAUGCAUAUAUAUAAUUACACAUAAUGUAUAUUUUGUCCAGGCCUCCCAUUUUAUAUACUUACUAUUAUAGUGUUACCUUUUGAAGGGCAGAAAAUUUAAUUGAAAUGAAAUCUGAUUUAUCAUUUUUAAGAGCGUUCUUAACGCUCUUUGAAUUGUGAUGUGUGUGAUUGCUAGUGUACAUGGUAUAUGUAGGUUGUGUACAUGGGUGUAUGUGAGUAUACAUGCACAUAGAUUGCAUAUGCAUACUGAGGCCGGCGGUUGAAGUGGGUGUGCUUCCUGUAUCACUUGGUUCACCUGUAUGUUUGAGACUCUGAUUCAGCAACACUGGCUGGCCAAUGAGGUUCAUGGCUGGGCCUGACUCUGCUCCCCAGUGCUGGGGCUACAGGAGCAUACUGUUCCUGGAUUUUACAUGGAUUCUGGGGAUUGGAACCCAGAUUCUUGUGCCUGCAUGGCAGGAACUCUACAGACUGAGCAAUCUCCCCAGGCUUAACACUGUUGUAUGUCCUGUGCAGUCUUAUCAUUUAGGUUUGGUUCUAAAACCCAAUGUACACCAAUUUUUUUGUGAAUGCAGAAAUGUGGUGGAAAGACUCGGAUAUUCAAUUCCUUGUCACUUACUCAAAACAUCGUAUCUGUAUCUUCCUAUUGAAUUCUGUUGGGAGAGGGACAUCCAUCACAGGCAAACAAUGACAAUGACAAGAACCCAACGCCUUUCUCUAAGUUCAAGUGAGCCACUGGGAAGUUUGAAGACCUUCUUAAGGAAAUGCACACUUUUUGCAUCGCAUCGUAGGUAGCUGUCAGUGUGUGCGUGCAUGUGUAUACAGUAGGUAGUUGUUAGUGUGUGUGUGCAUGUGUAUACAGUAAGAGUGAGUGUUUCUGUGUGAGGGAGGGUGUGUUCAUCUGCAUAUUAACCUGGAGAAGGUAGAGGUUAAAGUCAUAUGCCCUUUUUGGUCACUCUCUUUUUUCUUUUUGGGGGGGGGCAGGGUGUCUCCUUAGUUGACCUGGAACUCACCAAUUGCCUAGGCUGGCUGCCCAGCAAGUCCUGGGGAUACACCUGUUUCUGCUCCCCAGUUGCUGGCAUUAGAGGGACUCGCCACCAUAACCAGCUCUUUCUAUGGGGGUUAGAGAAUCUAAACUCACGUGCUCACUCUUAUGCAGCUUACGCCCUGAACCAUCUUUCCAGUCCAUUUGUGUGCAGUUUAAAAACACAUACACACCACGAGCACACAUUUAUUUUGAGAGCAAGAACCCUUUCUUGCUUACAUUUUUAUCCUUACCUCUGGCACGUAGGACAAGGCUUAGCUCGCUUUCAGGACUCCAUGAAAGAAUAAGCAUCUGAGCUCCAGCG